rnacentral:rRNA from 1 species
GAUGAACGCUGGCGGCGUGCCUAAUACAUGCAAGUCGAGCGAACAGACGAGGAGCUUGCUCCUCUGACGUUAGCGGCGGACGGGUGAGUAACACGUGGAUAACCUACCUAUAAGACUGGGAUAACUUCAGGAAACCGGAGCUAAUACCGUAUAAUAUAUUGAACCGCAUGGUUCAAUAGUGAAAGACGGUUUUGCUGUCACUUAUAGAUGGAUCCGCGCCGCAUUAGCUAGUUGGUAAGGUAACGGCUUACCAAGGCAACGAUGCGUAGCCGACCUGAGAGGGUGAUCGGCCACACGGGAACUGAGACACGGUCCAGACUCCUACGGGAGGCAGCAGUAGGGAAUCUUACGCAAUGGGCGAAAGCCUGACGGAGCAACGCCGCGUGAGUGAUGAAGGUCUUCGGAUCGUAAAAAUCUGUUAUUAGGGAAGAACAAAUGUGUAAGUAACUAUGCACGUCUUGACGGUACCUAAUCAGAAAGCCACGGCUAACUACGUG